GACGUAGGGGGCAAGCGUUGUUCGGAAUUAUUGGGCGUAAAGCGCUCGUAGGCGGGACUGGAAGUCCGUGUUGAAAGACCUCGGCUCAACUGAGGGACCGGCUCGGAUACUCUAGUUCUUGAGGCAAUCAGAGGGUGAUGGAAUUCCCGGUGUAGCGGUGGAAUGCGCAGAUAUCAGGAAGAACACCCGUGGCGAAGGCGGCUCUCUGGAACGCAACUGACGCUGAGACGCGAAAGCGUGGGGAGCAAACAGG
rnacentral:rRNA from 1 species